rnacentral:misc_RNA from 1 species
GUAGGUGAACCUGCGGAAGGAUCAUUAGUGAAUUAAACAUGCUUGGUGUCUUCGCUUGGUGUCUUCGCUUCGGCAAGGCCCUUGCUUAAAUCACAUCCUAACACCUGUGAACUGUAAGACGUAUGAUGAGGUCUUUGGCCAAGUCAUCGUCUGCCCAUUUUUAACAAACAAUUAAUGUAACAAACGUAGUCUUAUUAUAACCUAAUAAAACUUUCAACAACGGAUCUCUUGGCUCUCGCAUCGAUGAAGA